rnacentral:lncRNA from 1 species
GUCUUCUCUUGGGAAGUGUCUGUUCACAUCCUUUGCCCACUUUUUUAUGGGGUUAUUUUUUUUCUUAUAAAUUUGUUUAAGUUCCUUGUAGAUUCUGGAUAUUAGAUCUUUGUUAGAUGGAUAGAUUGCAAAAAUUUCCUCCCAUUCUGUAGGCUGCCUGUUCACUCUGAUGAUAGUUUCUUUUGCUGUGCAGAAGCUUUUUAGUUUAAUUAGAUCCCAUUUGUCAAUUUUGGCUUUUGUCACCAUUGCUUUUCGUGUUUUAGUCAUGAAGUAUUUGCCCAUGCCUAUGUCCUGAAUGGUAUUGUCUAGGUUUUCUUCUAGGGUUUUUAUGAUUUUAGGUUUUAUGUUUAAGUCUUUAAUCCAUCUUGAGUUAAUUUUUGUAUACAGUUUAAGGAAGGGGUCCAGUUUGUUUUCUGCAUAUGGCUAGCCAGUUUUCCCAGCACCAUUUAUUAAAUAGGGAAUCCUUUCCCCAUUUCUUGUUUUUGUCAGGUUUGUCAAAGAUCAGACAGUUGUAGGUGUGUGGUGUUAUUUCUGAGGCCUCUGUUCUGUUCCAUUGGUCUAUAUAUCUCUUUGGGUACCAGUACCAUGCUGUUUUGGUUACUGUAGCCUUGCAGUAUAGUUUGAAGUCAGGUAGUAUGAUGUCUCCAGCUUUAUUCUUUUUACUUAGGAUUGUCUUGGCUAUAUGGCUCUUUUUUGGUUUCAUAUGAAAUUUAAAGUAGUUUUUUCUAAUUCUGUGAAGAAAGUCAAUGGUAGCUUGAUGGGAAUAGCAUUGAAUCUAUAAAUUACUUUGGGCAGUAUGGUCAUUUUCACAAUAGUGAUUCUUCCUAUCUGUGAGCAUGGAAUUUUUGUCUGUUUGUACUGUUCUUGUAAUAGGGAAAAAGUCUCAUGAGAUCUGAUGGUUUUAUAAAGGGCAGUUCCCCUGCACAUACUGUCUUGCCUGCCACCAUGUUAAGACAUGCCUUUGCUCCUCCUUCGCCUUCCACCAUGAUUGUGAGUCCUUUCCAGCCAUGUGGAACUGAGUCCAUUAAAAAUCUUUUUCUUUAUAAAUUACCAAGUCUUGGGUAUGUAUUUAUUAGCAGCAUGAGAAUAAAUUAAUAUGCUAUUGAAUCAUAAAUACUGAUCCAACAAACUAUUUUCAGCACCUCUGAUAUGUGAUCACUUUGCUGUAGCUGACACCAGCUACAUCUCCAAACCUUCUUGGCUUCUGUUGACACCAUGCUUCCCUGUGGCCUCCUCCUACUCCAGUUCCACAGUUUCCUCUCCAGCAGGCACUUCUUCACCUCCUCUUAUAAACACUGCUAUUCCUUGCAGUUCUGUUCUGGGCCUCUUGUCUUCCCACUUCACACAUUCUUCCCCAGUGGUCUCAUCCACAUACCUUUGAUUGGUUUUCCACUAUUUGCUACUGACUCCCAGCUCUUAUAUCCAGUUAAUUACUCACAACUCAAAACCCUUCAAAGUUCUCUUGGAACCUUGAGAUCAGUUUCCUUUGGAACCCAGUUAUGCCUUUAAUCUUCAGCCUGCCACCUCCGUGUUCUUCCUGAACUAGACCUCUGGCUCAAAAAUGACCACUGCUAUGGUUUGAAGUUUCUCCCCUAACCCUCCUAAUUCAUAUGUUGAAAUCUUAACCCCUAAGGUGAUGGUAUCAGGAGGUGGGGCCAUUGGGAGGUGAUUAGGUUAUGAGAGUGAAGCCCCCAUUAAUGGGAUCAGUGCUCUUAUAAAGGGUAUUCCAGAGAGCCUCCUCUCCGUUUUGACCAUGUGAGGACACAGAGAGAAGAGGGCUGUCUAUGAACCAGGAACAGGUCCUCACCAGACACUGAAUCUGCUGGUGCCUUCAUUUUGGACUGCCUAGCCUUCAAAACUCUCAUAGACAAACAUUUAGUACCCACUGGAUUAGACCACUGUGUCUUCCAGAGCAUCCUGAAUCAACUUAUAAUAAAAACAAUUUGGAAACUAAAUUUUCUGGGUUCAGUCACAGGUUCUGGUGCUUACUAGCUGUGUUUUAUUGGGCAAAUUAAUUAACCUCUCUAUUUCUCAAUUUUCUCAUCUGCAAAAUGGAUUUAAAAAUUGUAUAUCAUCAUGGGCCUAUAGUGAAGAUUAAAUGAAUUAAUACAGUUCUUGCCUGACAUGGAUGAAUGCUUUCUAAGUAUCAUCUACUCUUAAACAAUAAAAUAUCUAAAUACUCUAUUAAAGAUAUCAAAAUCACGAAAGCACAUGAGAGAUACUGAAACAUAAACAUAUUGUAUGUAAUAUGAAAACAGAAGAAUUCAUCAGAUUGCUUUACCUAAAACAAUCACACUUUGAAAGACUUUACAUUCAUUCAGUGCCCUUUCUUGGCUUGGCAAUCUUCUUCACCAUUUUAAGGAUUUUUCAAUCUUUUGAGGAAAUUUUGACUUGAUUUUUAUAGGUCUAAUAAAUGAUUAUCAGAUUUGGAUUUUAUUUAUAUCCUGUGGGCAUGGAAGUUUUGUAUGCAUCAUCCAUGACCCCUUCUUCCUUCUUACCCUGAUAUUAGUAAGAGAUAUACUUCUGUUCUACACAUCUCCAUGCUUCUGGAAAGGGACUGUAUCCAUCACCUAAGCCAAUGCUUCUAGAUUUUUUUGUGAUGUGACGAAUUAAAAAAAAAAAACAGUGCUUGUAUAGCCUGUAGGAUAAAAGGAAGAGGCCACUCUGCUUGGAGAUGACUGGCGAGAUGCGACAGUGGCUUUGGGGCAAGAAAAAAUGGCAGCCCUAAGGCCUGAAGGGAUCAAUAUCUCUACAUGUGUAACCCAUUCUCAGCGUAAGAUGGAAACCUCUGGACUCUAAACCAAGAAGUGCAUGUCUUUCCCACUGCCACAAUUACCAGUUCAGCGUGGGCCUAUGAUCAAGCCUGGCCAAGGAAACUGACAAGAAGAACUUAGACCCCAUCGUAUCUUCGUCUGUCUUACUAGAUGAGAAGAAGGACGACCAUUGCCCUAAUUGACACCAACCUUAGGAUGACACUAACUCUGUGGAUGGUAGAAAAUGUCAUCUAAGGAACCUGGCUCUGACAAAACUGCAGAGCUGCUGCAUCAGCCAACCCUGAAGCCUACCCUAUUCUAGAUUCCCUGUUAAGGAGAUAAUAAAUGUCUUCAUUGCUUAAGCCAUUUUGAAUUAUCAUUUCAGUUACAUUUAGCCCAAAG